GGUUAAGCGACUAAGCGUACACGGUGGAUGCCCUGGCAGUCAGAGGCGAUGAAGGACGUGCUAAUCUGCGAUAAGCGUCGGUGAGGUGAUAUGAACCGUUAUAACCGGCGAUUUCCGAAUGGGGAAACCCAGUGUGUUUCGACACACUAUCAUUAACUGAAUCCAUAGGUUAAUGAGGCGAACCGGGGGAACUGAAACAUCUAAGUACCCCGAGGAAAAGAAAUCAACCGAGAUUCCCCCAGUAGCGGCGAGCGAACGGGGAGGAGCCCAGAGCCUGAAUCAGUGUGUGUGUUAGUGGAAGCGUCUGGAAAGGCGCGCGAUACAGGGUGACAGCCCCGUACACAAAAAUGCACAUAUUGUGAGCUCGAUGAGUAGGGCGGGACACGUGGUAUCCUGUCUGAAUAUGGGGGGACCAUCCUCCAAGGCUAAAUACUCCUGACUGACCGAUAGUGAACCAGUACCGUGAGGGAAAGGCGAAAAGAACCCCGGCGAGGGGAGUGAAAAAGAACCUGAAACCGUGUACGUACAAGCAGUGGGAGCCUCUUAAUGGGGUGACUGCGUACCUUUUGUAUAAUGGGUCAGCGACUUAUAUUCUGUAGCAAGGUUAACCGAAUAGGGGAGCCGAAGGGAAACCGAGUCUUAACUGGGCGUUAAGUUGCAGGGUAUAGACCCGAAACCCGGUGAUCUAGCCAUGGGCAGGUUGAAGGUUGGGUAACACUAACUGGAGGACCGAACCGACUAAUGUUGAAAAAUUAGCGGAUGACUUGUGGCUGGGGGUGAAAGGCCAAUCAAACCGGGAGAUAGCUGGUUCUCCCCGAAAGCUAUUUAGGUAGCGCCUCGUGAAUUCAUCUCCGGGGGUAGAGCACUGUUUCGGCAAGGGGGUCAUCCCGACUUACCAACCCGAUGCAAACUGCGAAUACCGGAGAAUGUUAUCACGGGAGACACACGGCGGGUGCUAACGUCCGUCGUGAAGAGGGAAACAACCCAGACCGCCAGCUAAGGUCCCAAAGUCAUGGUUAAGUGGGAAACGAUGUGGGAAGGCCCAGACAGCCAGGAUGUUGGCUUAGAAGCAGCCAUCAUUUAAAGAAAGCGUAAUAGCUCACUGGUCGAGUCGGCCUGCGCGGAAGAUGUAACGGGGCUAAACCAUGCACCGAAGCUGCGGCAGCGACGCUUAUGCGUUGUUGGGUAGGGGAGCGUUCUGUAAGCCUGUGAAGGUGUGCUGUGAGGCAUGCUGGAGGUAUCAGAAGUGCGAAUGCUGACAUAAGUAACGAUAAAGCGGGUGAAAAGCCCGCUCGCCGGAAGACCAAGGGUUCCUGUCCAACGUUAAUCGGGGCAGGGUGAGUCGACCCCUAAGGCGAGGCCGAAAGGCGUAGUCGAUGGGAAACAGGUUAAUAUUCCUGUACUUGGUGUUACUGCGAAGGGGGGACGGAGAAGGCUAUGUUGGCC
rnacentral:rRNA from 1 species